UACGAAGGGGGCUAGCGUUGCUCGGAAUUACUGGGCGUAAAGGGCGCGUAGGCGGCGCUGCAAGUCAGGCGUGAAAUUCCUGGGCUUAACCUGGGGGCUGCGCUUGAGACUGUGGUGCUAGAGGACGGAAGAGGGUCGUGGAAUUCCCAGUGUAGAGGUGAAAUGCGUAGAUAUCUGGAGGAACACCGGUGGCGAAGGCGGCGUCCUGGACCAACACUGACACUGAGGAGCGAAAGCCAGGGGAGCAAACGGG
rnacentral:rRNA from 1 species